GCCCGGGUGGCGGAACAGGUAGACGCAAGGGACUUAAAAUCCCUCGGGGGUAACCCCGUGCCGGUUCGACUCCGGCCCCGGGCACCA
rnacentral:tRNA from 1 species